rnacentral:rRNA from 1 species
GUCCUACGGGGGGCAGCAGUGGGGAAUAUUGCACAAUGGGGGAAACCCUGAUGCAGCGACGCCGCGUGAGUGAAGAAGUAUUUCGGUAUGUAAAGCUCUAUCAGCAGGGAAGAUAAUGACGGUACCUGACUAAGAAGUCCCGGCUAACUACGUGCCAGCAGCCGCGGUAAUACGUAGGGGGCAAGCGUUAUCCGGAUUUACUGGGUGUAAAGGGUGCGUAGGUGGCAGGGCAAGUCAGAUGUGAAAUCCGGGGGCUCAACCCCUGAACUGCAUUUGAAACUGUCGUUCUUGAGUACUG